CCAUGGUGACAUUGGGAGCCUGGGCACCAACACCAGCACCCGGGACAGAAACGGGAACACGAGGAACAUUAGGAGAUGUGGUUUGAUCCUGCAGAACAUAAAAACAAUGAUGUGAAGGGGAAGAAACAUCACUGACCAAAAUGAAGAGUCCUAACGUUUGGUCACCAAUCCAGCCUUCAUCAUAUUAUACAGAAAAAACACUACGAUGGAUAACUGGUUGUAUUCAUUUUUUCUGCCACCUAGAAGCAACCAGAGGGUACAGCAACAGCACCUCGGUUCUACAAAGCAGUGUGUGUGGGUCCCCCAGUUCAACUUCUCUUCCGGCAGCAUUCUUUCAAAUAUUAACUUCUUUUCAGUGAUCUCAAAAAUAUCAGAAAACAGAACACAUGCACACAUCAAAGGUGACAAUGAAUUAUUCCCCCCUCAGGUAAAUUUGCCAAACAGCUGGGCUUUGCUGUACUGGGAUCACUACACCAAGACAGACAAACCUGCAGGGCAGCGACACAGCUCAGAGCUGCGCGUCUAAAGAGGGAACCCUUUUCCCCUGACCUGGAAAAGAUGCCUUUGUGUGUCCCAGCAGGACACAUGAGGAGAAUCCCCACAAAAAGCCACUCGUCUCAAGUGUGGUUCACUGAACAAUAGUUCUCUCAGAUGACAGAAAAGCAGCUCAUUAAACAAACCUCAAAACAAGCACACUUACUUUAAUACGCAGUCUCCAUAAUGCAGUCCACUAACCCUUGGGGAAAAAACGUUUCAUCCAAGAACAAACAGGGGAAACUUCAAGAUCUCGGCAAUGAAACAAAAGGUUGUGUGUAGAGCCAGCAUAAAUUAUCAAGAAUGUUACAGCACUUGCCUGGGCAACAGCAUUCUUUUGAUUUAAGGAUAGAAGGACUGGAUCACGGUGGUUGCUUUCUUGUUAACUGUCCACAGCUAGCUGAUCUUUGGAAACAAACACUGCUUCAUGCUUGCAUAGGUAACACCAACAUCUCAUUUUUACAAGAGGGAUGGACUGCAGUUUCCAGGAGACCAAGAUCUUUCUUGGAAACAUCAGCAAAGUAAUGAGAUGAGCAGCAGACCUCGUAAGAGGAGGGACACAUUUGGAACUUCACUAAAUCUCAACAUCCCAUCUAUGGCUUCAGUAGCAGACCUAGAGCAAUUUUUUUCAAUUACUAACUUAAGAGAAUAAAGGAAAUCUGAUUUUUCAUAAAAACAGAAAACAACAGAAAGUGAGGAAGCUUCAACUCAACCCCAACAUUUGGCUUUUGGCAAGUUUCCUGUUGUUUACUUAAUACUCCAACUGGGAAAACUGAAGCUCAAGGUGGAUGAGUAACUUGCCUGAGGUCAUAUGAUGAGUCAAUCAAAGAUUGGGAUGGAUCCUCCUUAAUUCCAAAUCAUUAAGGAAAAAACGCUCUCCAAAAAAUAACAUACAAGUACUAAUUUAGUUUUGUACACUAAAUGUAUUCUUCUCAUGGUUGAAGCGAGUUUGUGUAUUAAAACAGAACCAAGGCCCAGUGCAACUGCUGCAACCAUAACUCCUGCAGACAACUCGAGGCAGCUUAGGGCUCAGGUAGGACCGUAGUCCUCUGUGGGCUGCAAAACUCACUUAGGUUGACGGAGAGAUAUUCCAGAAGUUGGUUCGUGCUGAGGUCUUUGCUGUUGUGCUACACCACUUCCAUAUAUGCAAGAUUAAAUCAUUUGUGCUUCUCAACUAAACUUACUGAAGUCUAGAUGUAGGCAUAGAUCCUUCAGUGUCCAUCUCAGGCUUCCUCCCCCACAAAAACCCAGGGUCUACCAUACCUGCAUGGUUUUUAACAGUCAUCAAAAUGCACAGAUUCCCAAUUUUAACUCCUUGGCAUUAGUUUCUCUUACGCAGCUCU